AGAACGAACGCUGGCGGCAUGCCUAAUACAUGCAAGUCGAACGAACUCUUCGGAGUUAGUGGCGCACGGGUGCGUAACGCGUGGGAAUCUGCCCCUUGGUUCGGAAUAACAGUUGGAAACGACUGCUAAUACCGGAUGAUGACGAAAGUCCAAAGAUUUAUCGCCAAGGGAUGAGCCCGCGUAGGAUUAGCUAGUUGGUGAGGUAAAGGCUCACCAAGGCAACGAUCCUUAGCUGGUCUGAGAGGAUGAUCAGCCACACUGGGACUGAGACACGGCCCAGACUCCUACGGGAGGCAGCAGUAGGGAAUAUUGGACAAUGGGCGAAAGCCUGAUCCAGCAAUGCCGCGUGAGUGAUGAAGGCCUUAGGUUGUAAAGCUCUUUUACCCGAGAUGAUAAUGACAGUAUCGGAAGAAUAAGCCCCGGCUAACUCGUGCCAGCAGCUGC
rnacentral:rRNA from 1 species